rnacentral:rRNA from 1 species
UCUGGGAUUAGAUACCCCACUAUAAUUUCCACAAAUCCUUAAAACACCAGAGUAGUAUAAUACCCUAUAAUUGAAACUCAAAGAACUUGGCGGUCUUCUAAAACUAAUUGGAGGAGCUUGUUAUCCAAUCGAUAAUCCACGAGACACCUCACCAGUUUUUGAAUCUCAGCCUGUAUACCAUCGUCGUCAGCUUGCCUUCUAAGAUAUCAAGCAAAAUGAAAUUUUCCAAACUUCAGAUCAAGGUGCAGCCAAUAAACUGGAGAUUAAAUGAGCUACCUUACUUCCAAACUGAGGAAAUAUCCCUGAAAAAACUAAUAGAAAAAGGAUUCAACAGUAAUUUAUUAAAGAAAAAAUUAAUGAACUAAGCUCUAGAACACGUACAUACCGCCCGUCACCCUCCUCAA